UACGGAGGGAGCUAGCGUUGUUCGGAUAUACUGGGCGUAAAGCGCACGUAGGCGGAUUGUUAAGUCAGGGGUGAAAUCCUGGAGCUCAACUCCAGAACUGCCUUUGAUACUGGCGAUCUUGAGUCCGGGAGAGGUGAGUGGAACUGCGAGUGUAGAGGUGAAAUUCGUAGAUAUUCGCAAGAACACCAGUGGCGAAGGCGGCUCACUGGCCCGGUACUGACGCUGAGGUGCGAAAGCGUGGGGAGCAAACAGGG
rnacentral:rRNA from 1 species